rnacentral:rRNA from 1 species
ACACUCCUACGGGAGGCAGCAGUGGGGAAUAUUGGACAAUGGGCGCAAGCCUGAUCCAGCCAUGCCGCGUGAGUGAUGAAGGGCCUAGGGUUGUAAAGCUCUUUCACCGGUGAAGAUAAUGACGGUAACCGGAGAAGAAGCCCCGGCUAACUUCGUGCCAGCAGCCGCGGUAAUACGAAGGGGGCUAGCGUUGUUCGGAUUUACUGGGCGUAAAGCGCACGUAGGCGGACUAUUAAGUCAGGGGUGAAAUCCCGGGGCUCAACCCCGGAACUGCCUUUGAUACUGGUAGUCUUGAGUUCGAGAGAGGUGAGUGGAAUUCCGAGUGUAGAGGUGAAAUUCGUAGAUAUUCGGAGGAACACCAGUGGCGAAGGCGGCUCACUGGCUCGAUACUGACGCUGAGGUGCGAAAGCGUGGGGAGCAAACAGGAUUAGAAACCCGUGUAGUCCC